CCUACGGGAGGCAGCAGUGGGGAAUAUUGUACAAUGGGGGCAACCCUGAUCCAGCCAUGCCGCGUGUGUGAAGAAGGCCCUCGGGUUGUAAAGCACUUUCAGUGAGGAAGAACGCCUGGUGGUUAAUACCCAUCAGGAAAGACAUCACUCACAGAAGAAGCACCGGCUAACUCCGUGCCAGCAGCCGCGGUAAUACGGAGGGUGCGAGCGUUAAUCGGAAUUACUGGGCGUAAAGCGCGCGUAGGUGGCUUGAUAAGCCGGUUGUGAAAGCCCCGGGCUCAACCUGGGAACGGCAUCCGGAACUGUCAAGCUAGAGUGCAGGAGAGGAAGGUAGAAUUCCCGGUGUAGCGGUGAAAUGCGUAGAGAUCGGGAGGAAUACCAGUGGCGAAGGCGGCCUUCUGGACUGACACUGACACUGAGGUGCGAAAGCGUGGGUAGCAAACAGGAUUAGAGACCCCUGUAGUC
rnacentral:rRNA from 1 species